rnacentral:rRNA from 1 species
GACGUAGGGCGCGAGCGUUGUCCGGAUUUAUUGGGCGUAAAGAGCUCGUAGGCGGUGUGUCGCGUCGGCCGUGAAAACCUGCAGCUUAACUGUGGGCGUGCGGUCGAUACGGGCAUCACUGGAGUUCGGCAGGGGAGACUGGAAUUCCUGGUGUAGCGGUGAAAUGCGCAGAUAUCAGGAGGAACACCGGUGGCGAAAGCGGCGCGCUGGACCUCUUCUGACGCUGAGGCGCGAAAGCCAGGGGAGCAAACGGG